rnacentral:lncRNA from 1 species
GUUUCACCAUGUUGGCCAGGCUGGUCUCGAACUCCUGACCUCAGGUGAUCUACCCUCCUCGGCCUCCCAAAGUGUUGGGAUUACAGGCGUGAUAUACUGUAAUCACGCCCGGCCAAUAUACUGCAUUUUGUAAAAGCAUUUAUUAUUAUUUUUUUUGAGACUGAGUCUCAUUCUGUCACCCAGGCUGGUGCAAUGGCACGGUCUCAGCUCACUGCAACCUCCACCUCCCAGGAGAAUCGCUUGAACCCAGGAGGCAGAGGUUGCAGUGAGACAAGAUCGCACCACUGCACUCCAGCCUGGGCAACAGAGUGAAACCCCAUCUCAAAAAAAAUAAAAA